rnacentral:lncRNA from 8 species
GAGGACAGUGAUCUGGAGAGCUACUGGAACAGUGUACAAGAGGAUAUGAUGGAAUUCAAGCUGUCGUAUGAGCUGUGGCGGGUUGGCCACUGGGCUGUCAGCGUCCCUUGUGUAAGUCACUAAUCGCACACAAGUCACUGUGGAAUGCUUUGAAUGCAACUACUGUUAGUUAUGAAACUGAGCUGUGUGAAGACAUGUCCUUGGUCAUUCUGUUACCUGUUUGUGCCAGAAUGGUGUGUAAAGUAAGAUGUUACUGUCUGUAGGUGGAGAGGGAAAACGAGGAACUGUAUUUUACAGUUCACCUGGAGGAGAGGGACAACCCUGAAAAUCUUCACUGGAACGUGAGGAAGACCCAAACAGACAUCAUCCACUUCCGCAACCUAUGGCAGGUUAGGGAAUUAUGAAGAGGGAGAUUGUAUUGCUGCUAUUGUGUUGCACAAGGUACCAUUUCACUAUGUAACCUCAUGGCCAAUGAAAUGAGGUAAAGCCGCUAUGCUGUUUGGUAUUGAAUUCAGUGUAAAAGGUUUUUGAGAAAUGAGACCAAUGGUAACUUCCUUAUUUUGUUGGGUCUCAAGAUGACAAAACCACAGCACUGUUGUCAAAACAGAGCGCUGCAGGACUUGUGAAUGUAACAGAUACUGUACUGUUUCAUUUAUCUUUGACAUCUUAUGGAUGUUGCACAAUUAGAUACAACCAUUGCUAAUAGUCUGAGUGUAUAGUCUCUUUUGACACUGGUCUCCCUUUUGCAUCCUCAAUGAGUCCAGAUUUACACUUGAGUCAUUUAGCAGACGCUCUUAUUUACAGAUCAUACAAUUUCUCUUUUAUUAUUAUUUUUCCCUUGUUUGGAUUGUUUUAUUUUUUAUUUUUUUUAGGACUCUGCUACUUUACCCUCCCUAUACGUGUUAGAGGAGAGCACUGAGGUGAACAUCAAUGAGGAUUUUAAAGAAGCCAGGAAGUCCAUCAAGCUCUUCUUACAGGAGCUGGUGUCUGAUGUUCUAGUGGGCCACACUCAGCCAGUAUUUCAGUUUCUGUGUCCUCUGGAAAAGCUGCUGGUUGAAGAGGAUCAUGUGUGGUGCCUCUUCAGUGGCCUGGCCAACUUCCUGACUCCGGGCCAAGAGGAAGAUGAGGACAAGCACAACAGCCUUGGAAGAGGGACCAAACCAGAUGAUUCCAACACAACGGAGGCUGCAGAACCAACUGCAACUGAGAACCUGGAUGGCGAUACAAGGGAUGACCUGGCCCGGGGCCCAUGUAUCAUCAUCUCCCAAUGUGAUGAGGAUUCUCCUUCAGAACCCAGUUCCAUUGAGUGCUGCAGAGAUGACGAGACUGAACCAAUAGAGAAAUCUGACAUUUUGGUUAAUGCAGACAAAACCGAGGAAUCUGAGAAACCCAUAACUUCCCACCUAAAGAUGGCAAUCAAAGGGCUAUCUAGAUCAGAGGAGUGUCUGGCCCAAACGAAAUCAGACACCCCUGAAAACCAGACUGACUCUUUCUGUAGACUGCGACGUUCCAGUGAAAAUGGAAGCUCGCAAUUUGACCUCGCUGACAGUCCAUCACAUCCUUUCGGUGGAAAGUUGAAUAAAAAGGAGAAACUCACUUUCAAAAUGUCAGGAGGUAUCCCCAGGAGUAAAGGAAAUGAAAUGGGGAGUCAGACAAAAUUAGAAGACUCACCGUGUUUGAAAAAGGAACAAUCCAGCUGGGAGCAAAUGGAAGCAACCAAAGCCCUUUUUGAUUUGUUGAAAGCAAUAUCUGGAAAGUGA